CAUAAGCCUGCCACAAUGCCAAUGUACCCCAUCUUUGACAAAUCUUUGACAAAGAUGGGGUACAUUGGCGUUGUGGCAGGCUUAUGCAAUGUAU